rnacentral:rRNA from 1 species
GCACAAGCGGUGGAGCAUGUGGUUAAUUCGACGCAACGCGAAGAACCUUACCAGGUCUUGACAUCCCGAUGCUAUUUCUAGAGAUAGAAAGUUACUUCGGUACAUCGGUGACAGGUGGUGCAUGGUUGUCGUCAGCUCGUGUCGUGAGAUGUUGGGUUAAGUCCCGCAACGAGCGCAACCCUUGUCCUUAGUUGCCAGCAUUAAGUUGGGCACUCUAAGGAGACUGCCGGUGUUAAACCGGAGGAAGGUGGGGAUGACGUCAAGUCCUCAUGGCCCUUAUGUCCAGGGCUACACACGUGCUACAAUGGCCGGUACAAAGGGCUGCAAUACCGCAAGGUGGAGCGAACCCCAAAAAGCCGGUCUCAGUUCGGAUUGGAGUCUGCAACUCGACUCCAUGAAGUUGGAAUCGCUAGUAAUCGCGGAUCAGCAUGCCGCGGUGAAUACGUUCCCGGGCCUUGU